rnacentral:rRNA from 1 species
UAGGGAAUCUUCGGCAAUGGGGGCAACCCUGACCGAGCAACGCCGCGUGAGUGAAGAAGGUUUUCGGAUCGUAAAGCUCUGUUGUAAGUCAAGAACGGGUGUGAGAGUGGAAAGUUCACACUGUGACGGUAGCUUACCAGAAAGGGACGGCUAACUACGUGCCAGCAGCCGCGGUAAUACGUAGGUCCCGAGCGUUGUCCGGAUUUAUUGGGCGUAAAGCGAGCGCAGGCGGUUUGAUAAGUCUGAAGUUAAAGGCUGUGGCUCAACCAUAGUUCGCUUUGGAAACUGUCAAACUUGAGUGCAGAAGGGGAGAGUAGAACUCCAUGUGUAGCGGUGGAAUGCGUAGAUAUAUGGAAGAAUACCAGUGGCGAAGGCGGCUCUCUGGUCUGCAACUGACGCUGAGGCUCGAAAGCAUGGGUAGCGAACAGGAUUAGAUACCCUGGUAGUCCAUGC